rnacentral:rRNA from 1 species
UACGAAGGGGGCUAGCGUUGCUCGGAAUUACUGGGCGUAAAGCGCACGUAGGCGGCUUCUUAAGUCGGUGGUGAAAUCCUGGAGCUCAACUCCAGAACUGCCUUCGAUACUGAGAGCUCGAGUCCGGGAGAGGUGAGUGGAACUGCGAGUGUAGAGGUGAAAUUCGUAGAUAUUCGCAAGAACACCAGUGGCGAAGGCGGCUCACUGGCCCGGUACUGACGCUGAGGUGCGAAAGCGUGGGUAGCAAACAGG